ACACACACACACACACACAAAAUCACUACCGCACUCUCAGUCUCAGUCAUGUAAAUUGCUGAAGUCAGAGCCGCUACCCCUUUUUCAGUAGUUCCGUCUUCUCUCUUGCUGUGUUUGCAUAGACCAGGAUUAAAAGGAAGUCUACAAAAACUUUGCUUAGGAAGGUGGGGGGAGAGAGGACCCGCAAGGAGAUCGUACUUGGAGUUUCAGGAGGAGGUUUUUCUCCUGUUGUGAAGUUUGCUCCAGGGGCUGUCUGCCUGAAGCCAUGGGGGUGGUGAGAGGUGUUGACAGAGCUGGAGGGAGCAGAAAAGCACUUUGAAAGGAAGACUAACAUGUUUUUUGUUCUUUUUUUUUUUUCCCUAAGCAAUUUUGCUGUAUGAGCGAAAGAACUACAACUGGAUCAUUUAGAUUCCUCCCCAUGGAUUUCAGAGGGCAACCCUGCUCUGAAGCCUUUGAGACUCCAGAGGAAUAGAUAUCACACACACAAACUCUCACACACGCUCGUGGGAGUUAAUAGCUGCAUGAAGCAACAUGGAAGCACUGAGAGAGUCUCUUCUUAAUUUGACUUUUCAGAUGUCCACGUACAGGAGAGCCACCCUGGAUGAGGAGGACCUGGUGGACUCCACCAGCGAUGAUUUCUACCCGUCAGCUCCCAUGCAGGUGAAUUUGCUGCACGGCCGUUCCUCGUGUUGGCCGAGCAGGACACAGACAGAGAGGAGGCUGAUGUGUUUGGUGUGUGUCCUGACAGUGGGUCUGUUUGUAACUCUCAUCACGACAGGGAUUUUCUACAAACAGAGUCACCCAGGCUUGUGCCUAACAGAGCCGUGCAUUACUGUGGCCAGUGCAGUUCUGGGAGCCCUGGACCGAUCCAUAGAUCCCUGCCAUGACUUCUAUAACUUUGCUUGUGGGGGCUGGAUAAAAAGCAACCCCCUCCCUGAGGGAAAGUCCCGCUGGGGCUCUUUCAGCAACUUGUGGGAGCACAACAUGCUUGUAAUGAAGCAGUUAUUAGAAAACACAACAAUGAAAGGCUUGAGCGAGGCUGAGGAGAAGGCCCGGCGAUAUUAUCAGGCCUGCAUGAAUGAGACCAAGAUUGAGGAAUUAGGAGCUAAGCCGCUGCAGCACCUAAUUAGUCAGAUCGGAGGAUGGGGUCUGACUGAACCCUGGGACAAGGACAACUUCCAAAAAGUUCUCCGAACAGUGUCUGCCAGCUUGCGCACCUCCCCUUUCUUCACUGUGUUUGUCAGCACAGACUCCAAAAACUCCAGUACUAACAUCAUCCAGGUGGAUCAAACCAGCCUGGGACUACCUUCACGUGAUUACUACCUCAACAAAACAGCAAAUAAAAAGUAUCUGACAGCGUACCUCAACUUCCUGGUGGAGUUGGGGGUUCUUCUGGGUGGCUCGCACGAGACUUCUCAAACCAUGAUGGAAGAAAUUGUGGACUUUGAAACCACCCUGGCCAACAUCACAGUCCCUCAGGAGGAGAGAAGAGAUGAGGAGCUCAUUUACCAUAAGAUGGAGGCCAGGGAGCUGGCAACUCUGGCUCCAGCAGUGGACUGGAUGCCGUUCCUCAGAGAAGUGUUUGCUCCUGUGUCACUUAACGAGUCAGAGCCAGUGGUGGUUUAUGCCAAAGAAUACCUCCAGAAAGUUUCUGAACUCAUAACUAAAACAAAUAAAAGCCUUCUCAACAACUACAUGAUGAUGAAAGUGGUGAGAAAGAUGGCUUCCAUUUUGGACCAAAGGUUCCAGGAUGCAGAGCAGCGAUUCCUUGAGGUCAUGUAUGGAACCAAGAAGAGCUGCAGUCCACGCUGGAAGCUGUGUGUCAGCGACACAGACAGCGCCUUGGGUUUUGCUCUUGGAGCCAUGUUUGUCAAAGCCACCUUUGCUGAGGACAGCAAAGCCAUUGCUGAGGAUAUGGUUACAGAAAUUAAACAGGCAUUUGAGGAUGGACUGAAGUAUGUGAGCUGGAUGGACACGGAAACAAAAAAGGCAGCUAAAGAAAAGGCAGAUGCAAUAUACAACAUGGUUGGGUAUCCUGAAUUUAUCAUGAACCCCACAAAGCUGGACAAAGUGUUCAAUGAUUUCUCCGUGGUGUCGUACUUGUACUUCCAGAAUGUCAUGCAGUACUACAACUUCUCAACCAGAGUGACUGCAGACCAGCUGAGGAAACCUCCCAACCGAAACCAGUGGAGCAUGACCCCUCCAACAGUAAAUGCCUACUACAAUCCAACGAAAAAUGAGAUGGUUCUGCCUGCAGGAAUCCUUCAAGUUCCAUUCUACGGUCGCUCCUGGCCUAAAGCACUCAGUUUUGGUGGAAUUGGAGUUGUCAUGGGCCAUGAACUGACUCACGCUUUUGAUGACCAAGGGAGGGAGUACGAUAAAGAUGGAAACCUGCGCCCGUGGUGGAAGAACUCCUCUGUGGAGGCCUUCAAGAAGCAGACCCAGUGCAUGGUGGAGCAAUACGGCAAUUACAGCAUCAACCAAGAGCCUCUGAAUGGACGACACACCCUGGGAGAAAACAUCGCCGACAACGGUGGACUCAAGGCUGCUUACAAGGUCAUAAGCUGUGAGGCAGAUGACCAAAACGAUAUGGAAGUAAAAGCGAUGCCCUGCUUAUGUGAACUGGAUUAAAAAGAAUGGCGAAGAGGCUGUGCUGCCAGCGCUGGGAAUGACAAACCAUCAGCUGUUUUUUGUAGGGUUUGCCCAGGUAUGGUGCUCUGUCAGGACACCCGAGAGCUCACAUGAGGGCGUUAUGACAGAUCCUCACAGUCCUCCAAGAUUCAGGGUCAUCGGAACGGUCUCAAAUUCACGUGAAUUCUCAAAGCACUUUGGAUGUAAAGCAGA